CUGUCAGACGCCAAACACUGAGCCUCCCUCAUCGCUAUAAAACCUCCUCGCCUCCAUCACUGUCAGGGACACAAACAUCCUGAAGUGACUGGCUGAGGUGGAUGCAGACACUCUGAGGGUACUCGGAGCAGGUGGAGUGUGUCGUUUUCCAGAAGAGCGAUCUGUGUGUGUGUGUGUGUGUGUGUGUGUGUGUGUGUGCAGGAACUACAGUGACUCUGCCCUGCCGUUACGACUACACCCCUCAGGUCACACUGUGAGGCGCGUUAUGUGGUCACCACACCGACCCCAACCAGAUCAGC